UCAGGCCUAACACAUGCAAGUCGAACGAGAAAGCAUCUUCGGAUGUAAGUACAGUGGCGGACGGGUGAGUAAUACAUAGGAAUCUACCCAAUGGUGGGGGAUAGCUCGGGGAAACUCGAAUUAAUACCGCAUAAUCUCUACGGAGUAAAGGGGGCUUCGGCUCUCGCCAUCGGAUGAGCCUAUGCAGGAUUAGCUUGUUGGUGAGGUAAUGGCUUACCAAGGCAACGAUCCUUAGCUGGUUUGAGAGGAUGACCAGCCACAUCGGGACUGAGACACGGCCCGGACUUCUACGGAAGGCAGCAGUAGGGAAUAUUGGACAAUGAGCGAAAGCUUGAUCCAGCCAUGCCGCGUGUGUGAUGACGGCCUUCGGGUUGUAAAGCACUUUAGGUAAUGAGGAAAAAUUAGAUGUUAAUACCACCUAAUCAUGACGUUAAUUACAGAAUAAGCACCGGCUAAAUCCGUGCCAGCAGCCGCGGUAAUACGGAUGGUGCAAGCGUUAAUCGGAAUUACUGGGCGUAAAGCGCGCGUAGGUGGCACACCAAGUUAGAUGUGAAAUCCCAGGGCUUAACCUUGGAACUGCAUCUAAAACUGGUGAGCUAGAGUACUAGAGAGGAAAGUAGAAUUCUUAGUGUAGCGGUGGAAUGCGUAGAUAUUAAGAGGAAUACCAAUGGCGAAGGCAACUUUCUGGAUAGAUACUGAC
rnacentral:rRNA from 1 species